GUGCUUGCUUCAGCAGCACAUAUACUGAGGUAGAACAAUACAAAGAUGGUUAGCAUGGCCCCUUAGGAAGGAUGAAAUGUCUGAGAUGGUGGGGCACCCCAACUGU